GAUAUCCAGCGGCGGACGGGUGAGUAACACGUGGGGAACCUGCCUGUAAGACUGGGAUAACUCCGGGAAACCGGGGCUAAUACCGGAUAACUCAUUUCCUCGCAUGAGGAAAUGUUGAAAGGUGGCUUCGGCUAACACUUAAAGAAGGACCCGCGGCGCAAUAACUAGUUGGUGAAGUAACGGCUCCCCCAGGCAACGAUGCCUAACCCAACUGAAAGGGUGAACGGCCCCCCUGGGAAUGAAACACGGCCCCAAAUCCUACCGGAAGCAACCAUAAGGAAUCCUCCGCCAUGGAAGAAAGUCCGAAGGAACAACGCCCCCUGAAUUAUGAAGGUUUUCCGAACCUAAAGCUCCGGUGGUAAGGAAAAACAAAUUCCCUUCCAAUAAGGCCGCACCCUUACCGUACCUAACCCAAAAACCACCGCUAACUACCUUCCAACAACCCCCGUAAUAACUAAGUUGCAAACCUUUUCCCGAAUUAAUUGGCCUAAAACCCCCCCAAGUUGUUCCUUAAAUCCUAAGUUAAAACCCACCGCUCCACCCUUGAAGGUCCUUUGAAACUUGGGAACUUUAAUUCAAAAAAAGAAAAUUGAAUUUCCAAUUUAACCGUUAAAUUCCUAAAUAUUUUGAAGAACAACAAUUGCCAAAGCCACUUUCCUGUCCUUAACUUACACUUAAGCCCCAAAACCUUGGGAACAAACCAGAAUAAAUUCCCUUGUAAUCCACCCCCUAUACCAUUAAUUCUAAUUUUUAGGGGUUUCCCCCCCUAAUUCUUCCACUAACCCUUAACACUCCCCCCUGGGAAUAACGUCCCCAGACUUAACUCCAAAGAAUUUACCGGGGCCCCCCCAACCUUUGAACAUUUUGUUUAAUUCAAACAACCCAAAAACCUUACCAGUCUUGACAUCCCCUACAACCCUAAAAAUAGGCUUUCCCUUCCGGGACGAAUGACAAUGAUGCAUGGUUUCGUCACUCCUUCCUAAAAUUUUGGUUAAUCCCCCACCACCCCACCCUUGAUCUAAUUGCAACAUUCAUUGGGCAUCUAAAUAAUGCCGUUACACCGGAGAAAGUUGGGAUGACUCAAGCUUCUUGCCCUUGUACCUUCCUACACGUGCUACAAUG
rnacentral:rRNA from 1 species